GGAACCAGCAAUUGGCCACAGGCACACACACCCCCAAUCAGAGGCGCGCACCCCGCUCGCUCCCGGAACUGUCAUGCGGGCUGACAGCUGGCACACCCUCCUGUCGCCCUCCACCCGCCUGCAGAAAGCCCACUCCCUACAGUCACCUUGACAUUGCUCACCUGCCUGGGCCUCAGCCCAUGACCAAGGAAACUUUUGCCCUCCCUCCCCAGGAGCUCACUUACAGGCCAUCUUCAAAGGUACUGCCUACCUGAACCUGCCUUGUCCCAAAGGACACACUUCAAUCUGGGGAGAGUUUAAAGUUGUAGACAUAUCCAUUUUCAUUUAAGGAAUAUGAAGAUCAGGGAGGCAAAAUAUAGAGAUAUAGAGAGGAAAAACUGAGAGAUGAUCAGAAAUUCAGACGCAUUCGGAAUGAGCACCCUUGACCAUACCAAGAACAAAGACUCUAUAAAAAUGUGAAGUCUUAUUAUUGUUCAUCCAUGUUCUACGUGGGAUCCACCCAAGACAUUGAAAACUGUACAGAACAGGGUGAAAUUGAAUCAGAUCAUUCUGUACUCCUAACAAGGUCCACCCCAUGAGAGACUUGCAGCAGAAUUAAUGACACUGUAUAUUUUCCUCUACUAACAACAACAAGAACAACAACAACAACAAUCUAGGAAAAUCAAAGGCAGCCCGACAUGGAAAAAAACACAAAAUGAAUAUUUGGAUUACAAAUAGUGUGAUGGGAAGAACACACUGCCAAAAGUCCACCUAGUAUGUUGAAAUUACUGUUUCUAGCACAUAUAAGGUAUGAUUUUUUAAUGUUUUAAACAUUCAUUAUUGGCUACUUUAACUAUUUUUCCUUGGUAACUGCAGCAGAAAUUGAAAAAUGAUAGAAAAGCAGAAAAGAAUGGCAUAACUUAUCAGAUAUAUGUAAGUGUGUAAACUUUGGGUUUUAUUGUUUAGCUCAUCUAGUAACUUGGGAAAAUAAUAGCUAUUCCAUAAGAUUGUUGAGAAAAUUAAAUGAGAGAACACAGUUAACAGACUUAGCUGAAUGUGUAGCAUAUAGAGGGCACUCAGGCAUCCCUGGCAUACAGGUAUGAGUCUGCAAUUAACAAGGUAAUGGAAAGAGUGUUGCAGAUCUCUGACCGAAGUAUUUUCUCCUGGGCUUACAGUAUUUAUCAGCUAUCAUAAUACAAAUUUGCUGCCAAUUUGUACUGACUUCUGAAAAAUACUUUAUCCAUUGUCUUCUUACAUCAGAAUCAACUCCCUAAAUUCUUCAGCACUGGCUUUGUAAACUGGUUUCUGGUCUUUGUUUCUGUCAACUUACCUAUAAAAGGAUACAAAAACUGAAGAACAGAGAGGAGCAGAUACCCUGGAAAGCCGAAAGUUUUAUUGACCAAAGACUGAGUCUCGGAAUGUUUUGAUUGUGGAGUUUAUAGAGUUCAGGCUGAAGUUUUAUAAAAAUAACUUGCAGCAGCAUGGAGGACUGAUGAGAAAGUAGACAGAUGCUGGAAGCAGGAAAACUGAACAGCAGGUCACUGGCCAAGGAGAAUCAAAGAGCUAGAUGCUGAGAAUAAUGCAGCCAUAACGUGAAAUCUUUUUGAGACCACUCACUCUGGGAGAAAGCAACUGGCUAUGUCAUGAGGAAAUUGAAACCACCUAUGGAGAAAGGCCCACAUGAAUUCUGUAAGUCUGCUACGGUGACAUUUCUGGUUAGGAGUCAGAGUGGAUGGGACACUGAGCAAUAAGAAUGCAGAGACAUGAUGGCUGAAGCUGGAGCUUUUCCCUGAAGCAACCACCUGUUGGAAACUUCAUGUUGAAGAUGACUGAAUAAUAAGACAGAGGGGUCUGGGUCCCUGGUGGAUAUUCCAGAUCUGGGUGUUCGUGGAGAUAUGAGAAAGCAAUAAACUUCAAUUUUGCUUAAAUAGCUGUUACUUGGGGCAUUCUGUCAUUUAUGGACA
rnacentral:lncRNA from 10 species